rfam:Desulfuromonadales bacterium C00003068 5datasets_contig_312547, whole genome shotgun sequence.
GUCCGAGAACUGUGGGGAAUUUUGUCUCCCCCUUCAGAUCCGGCAAUGCAGAUAUUGUUAUGAAUAUUUGCAUUUAUUUUAACAUUGUAAGGAG